AUGAUAAAUUUUCCGUGGCUAGUGGCAGGCGAUUUCAACGAAAUACUACAUGCACACGAGAAGGAGGGUGGAGUUCCAAGACCACAAAGAAGUAUGCAAAUGUUCAGUGAUGCUUUGUCUGAUUGUGGAGUAGAUGACCUUGGUUAUAUAGGCGAUCUGUUCUCAUGGCGUCGAGGCCACCUACGUGAGCGUUUGGAUCGAGUAGUGCAGAAUAUGCAAUGGGCAAACUUGUUCCCUGGGUUCGCUGUUUCAAAUGAGGAGUUUGAUAAAUCUGAUCACCGUCCGGUUCUUAUUGAUACCGAUUUUAAUCUGGGGGUGCAACCUAGGGGGCCGGCAGGAACCCGCAAAUUUGAGGUGCGGUGGCUAGCGGAGGAAGACAUUGAAACAAUCGUUCAAACCGCGUGGGACAAGCGCAAGGAGUUGGGCUGUGUACCACUAGCGAUCAGCACUGCAAAUGUUCAUGUGGCUCUUCAUCGAUGGGAUAGAGAGGUUCUUAAGGGGCCUCGUAACAAACUCUGGGAGUUGCAGAAAGAAUUGAAUGUAGUACUCUCGGGACCACUAUCAGAUGAAGCAGUGGUCAAGCAACAUGACCUACACUUGCAGAUUGAAAAACUUCUAGAACAAGAAGAAAUCUACUGGCUCCAACGGGGCCGGGCGGACUAG
rnacentral:rRNA from 1 species